GACGAACGCUGGCGGCGUGCUUAACACAUGCAAGUCGAACGGAAAGGCCCUGCUUUUGUGGGGUGCUCGAGUGGCGAACGGGUGAGUAACACGUGAGUAACCUGCCCUUGACUUUGGGAUAACUUCAGGAAACUGGGGCUAAUACCGGAUAGGAGCUCCUGCUGCAUGGUGGGGGUUGGAAAGUUUCGGCGGUUGGGGAUGGACUCGCGGCUUAUCAGCUUGUUGGUGGGGUAGUGGCUUACCAAGGCUUUGACGGGUAGCCGGCCUGAGAGGGGGACCGGCCACAUUGGGACUGCGAUACGGCCCAGACUCCUACGGGAGGCAGCAGUGGGGAAUAUUGCACAAUGGGCGGAAGCCUGAUGCAGCAACGCCGCGUGCGGGAUGACGGCCUUCGGGUUGUAAACCGCUUUCGCCUGUGACGAAGCGUGAGUGACGGUAAUGGGUAAAGAAGCACCGGCUAACUACGUG
rnacentral:rRNA from 1 species